GUAUAUACCUGCCAGCUAUACACACACACACACAUAUAUAUGUGUGUGUGUGUGUGUGUGUGUGUGUAUAUAC